rnacentral:lncRNA from 1 species
GGGAGGGGGGGAAGAUACGGCGAGAGGGCCCGGCAGUUCUCUCACACGAGGAAGAGGAGGGGCGGGAGGAGGAAGAAGGGGCCGGAGGGGCGGGGCUAGGCGCAACCGGAAAGGGGUGCGGUGGCGGGAAAAAAAAAGAGUCCGUUAAACGGCCGUUACGACUCCCAACGGCCUGUGCUGCCUACGGCGGGCGCCCCUGUCAGGAAAAGGCCGGCAAAAUGGGGGAAAGGCUGCGCAACUAACAUCCAAUAAGGUGGCGGCAUAUGUGCUGUAAGCCUAUAUAUAUAGUUCGUAUAUGGCUACACACCGCUUCCGGCGGCUACUCCUUGGGUCCGCCCACUCAAAAAAAAAGAGGCAAGCCUACCGAAGCACGCAUGCGCCACGGGAGAUCAUUUAUCUUUGCAUCUACGUGUUUUCCCUCCCCCUUUUUCUUCCGAUGGCGCUCCAAACAGGUAACCCGAGAGUUACUACUCUCUGGAGCAUGCGCAGUGAAGAGCGUCUAAGUCGCCCCUGGAAACCGGCGCGAGCGGGACUGGUCUGGACAACCACAGGGCAAGGUCUGCAAGUUGGACAGAAGGUACAACACGAAGGACAGCUCCCAGUGACCACCCAGCUUUGACAAUGGGUAUUGCUGAACUGAGACCUCUUACAUUGCUGGCUGAGGAUUACUUCCUCCCAACUCACCUUGCUUUCUUCCUUCGGGAAGCCUUCUAAGGAUAGUUCCCUAGAACUUUGUCCUCUCUCUGGGACUCAUGCUGUGGGUACAGGAUUGGCAUACUCUAUUGUGGAGCUCUCCCAGAGUGGAAACCAGGCAUCAGAGGAUCAUCAUUCUCCUGGGCAUGGAGGCCUCAGGUUCAUGGGAAAUGGUUUGGGUCAGGUCAGGAGGACACAGGCCUAGCUGACUUGAAAGAUCCUUUAGACUGGCUCCUCACUCUCUGCAUUCAUGGCCAGGUUCCUGUUGGACAUCUGGGACAUGGCAUUUUGUUGAUGUCCCUUGUUGUUGUUCUUUUAAUCCAUUUUGUGUAACCAAAUCUAAGACACAUUUACUCUGGAGAAAGGUAUGAUCAUCAUCAUCAUGUGCCUCGAAGUUAAUUCUUUUUCAGGGUUCUACAGGUAGAUUCAGAAUGGUUUACCAUUUGCUUCUUGGUGCCCUGGGACUUCAUUUUGCCCAUGACUACACAGGCUGGCUAUUCAGUUAAAUCUUUUUCAGGGUUCUACAGGUAGAGAGUAUUCAGAAUGGUUUACCAUUUGCUUCUGGGGGUGUCCUGGGACUUCAUCUUGCCCAUGACUACACAGGCUGGCUCUUCUCCCUGGAGGCACAGUGGGAAAUUGAACUCGCCACCUCUGGCUUCUCAGGCGGAUACCUAAACCACUGACCUUGGAGAAGGGUAUAACAUUUGCUAUAAAUGACUAACAUUGCAGAGUUAUGAAGAAAUAGCCUGAUGAUCUCUUAUACUACAGUCCUGUAAGAUCAUGAACAUACUGUAUCUUCCUGCACCUUUGAGGUCAUGUGCCAGCAGAUCCCUCUUUAGUGCUUCUUUAAUUGUUCUCCUUUCUUGUAGUAAGUAGGGACCAAGUGAUCCCAUUCUGCUUAAUAGCACACAAAAAUUCAGCUCAUUAUUGCAAACCUGUAUUUGUUCUAAUAAAAAUAUAUUUUUUAAUCGUUUGCGGCUCUAU